rnacentral:rRNA from 1 species
UACGUAGGGUGCGAGCGUUGUCCGGAAUUAUUGGGCGUAAAGGGCUCGUAGGCGGUCUGUCACGUCGGGAGUGAAAACUCAGGGCUUAACCCUGAGCCUGCUUCCGAUACGGGCAGACUAGAGGUAUGCAGGGGAGAACGGAAUUCCUGGUGUAGCGGUGAAAUGCGCAGAUAUCAGGAGGAACACCAAUAGCGAAGGCAGCUCGCUGGGACGUUACUGACACUGAGGCGCGAAAGCGUGGGGAGCGAACAGG